UUGACCUCGGAUCAGGUAGGAAUACCCGCCGAACUUAAACAUAUCAAUA
rnacentral:rRNA from 1 species